AGUCGAACGACCUUCGGGUUAUUGGCGGACGGGUGAAUAACGCGUGAGAAUCUGCCCUCAGGAGGGGGAUAACGGCUGGAAACGGCCGCUAAUACCCCAUAUGCCGAGAGGUGAAAUGAAUUUCGCCUGAAGAUGAGCUCGCCUCUGAUUAGCUAGUUGGUGGGGGAAAGGGUCACCAAGGCAUCCAUCAGUAACUGGUCUGAUAGGAAGAUCAACCACCCUGGGAGUGAGAGACAGCCCAAACUCCUACGGGAGGCAGGAGUGGGGAAUUUUCCUCAAUGGGCGCAAGCCUGACGGAACAACCCCUCCCGGGGGAUGAAAGCCUCUGGGCUGUAAACCUCUUUUUUCCAGGAGGAAAAUCUGACGGUGCUUGAUGAAUAAGCCGCGGUUAAUUCCGUGCCCCCACCCGCGGGAAUAACGGGAGUGGCAAGCGUUAUCCGGAAUUUUUGGGCGUUAAACGCCCCCAGGCGGGUUUACAAAACUGGGGGUAAAACGUGGAGCUCUACUCCAUUUCGGGGAUGGAAAAUGUUUAACAAUAAUGUGGAAGGGGCAAAGGGAAUUUCCCGUGUGGCGGGGAAAAUGCCAAAUAUUUGGAAAAAAACCCCGGUGAAAAGGGCUCUGUUGGGGCUAAAUUGUACCCCUUGGAAAAAAACUCGGGGGCGCAAGGGGAUAAAUACCCCCGUAUUCCCCAGCCCAAACAAAAAAAACUAGGGUCGGGGGAAAUGAACCCCCCGGUGGCCGAACCAAC
rnacentral:rRNA from 1 species